AUUGAACGCUGGCGGCAGGCCUAACACAUGCAAGUCGAGCGGAAGAAGGGAGCUUGCUGCUGGAUUGAGCGGCGGACGGGUGAGUAAUGCCUAGGAAUCUGCCUGGUAGUGGUGGAUAACGUCCGGAAACGGGCGCUAAUACCGCAUACGUCCUGAGUGAGAAAGUGGGGGAUCUUGAGAGUUUACGCUAUUAGAUGAGGCUAGGUCGGAUUAGCUAGUUGGUGGGGUAAAGGCCUACCAAGGCGACGAUCCGUAACUGGUCUGAGAGGAUGAUCAGUCACACUGGAAGUGAGACACGGUCCAGACUCCUACGGGAGGCAGCAGUGGGGAAUAUUGGACAAUGGGCGAAAGCCUGAUCCAGCCAUGCCGCGUGUGUGAAGAAGGUCUUCGGAUUGUAAAGCACUUUAAGUUGGGAGGAAGGGCAGUAAGUUAAUACCUUGCUGUUUUGACGUUACCAACAGAAUAAGCACCGGCUAACUUCGUG
rnacentral:rRNA from 1 species